GGAAUCUUCCGCAAUGGACGAAAGUCUGACGGAGCAACGCCGCGUGAGUGAAGAAGGUUUUCGGAUCGUAAAACUCUGUUGUCAGAGAAGAACAAGUUGGAGAGUAACUGCUCCAGCCUUGACGGUAUCUGACCAGAAAGCCACGGCUAACUACGUGCCAGCAGCCGCGGUAAUACGUAGGUGGCAAGCGUUGUCCGGAUUUAUUGGGCGUAAAGCGAGCGCAGGCGGUUCCUUAAGUCUGAUGUGAAAGCCCACGGCUCAACCGUGGAAGGUCAUUGGAAACUGGGGAACUUGAGUGCAGAAGAGGAGAGUGGAAUUCCAUGUGUAGCGGUGAAAUGCGUAGAUAUAUGGAGGAACACCAGUGGCGAAGGCGACUCUCUGGUCUGUAACUGACGCUGGGGCUCGAAAGCGUGGGGAGCAAACAGGAUUAGAUACCCUG
rnacentral:rRNA from 1 species